rnacentral:other from 1 species
GUAAAUCUGUGAUGUACGCGUUGUUCCGUCUAGUGUUGACCGAACAAAACUAUUAUUGAAAGGGAUUUCUGGAUCGCCCAUGGACAAAAUGCCUAGAUAGUUUCUACCUAGGACUUUGGAAGUGGACUGCAGAGAACCCACCUGCAACAUAACUAUGCGGGUUCAAUACAUAGGAACAAGAAACGGCAUUAACGGAGAUACC